UAUACAUGAAAAAGAGGGAAACAAAUAAUUCAAAUCAAUCCAAACAUAUUCGCCAAAUUCCCGUUUCUCCGCGAUCACCCGAACAUUCUUCGAAAGAUUUAUGCAAAAAUCUGAUUCGCUGUCGUUGUUGUUCAUCUCUAACUGCGACUAUCCACGUCAAUAAUCCUCAUUUAGUUUGAUACUCAUUGUUUUUUUUUCUGUAAUUGAUCCCUAGACUGAGGACGAGUUUGUCUGAGUUGUGAUUGUGUGCGUGGAUCUUAAUCAUUGAAUUUCGUAUUAUUUGCAGAUAGGAUGAGUAAUGUUGGUCAGUUGCCGAUGCCUAAUAAUCUUCACUCUGGAGGAGUUCCGAAGAGUAAAUUGAAGCGGAAAACUCCCUCGGAGUUGAGGGGGGAACUACUGAAGAAAAAGAAUUUACUGGAGGGUUCAAAUGAUUCCGGAACCUCUACUAGUUCCAUGUGGUGGAUGCAUUCCCUAUUUUUCUUUUAUUACCAUAGAUACCUUGAAGUCAUUUCUUUCUUUCUUCAGGAAUGCUGAUGGAGCAGUUUCUGAGAGCAACAAAUCUGAUCCAUUAAAAGCGUUGCGAUUGAGAACAUUGGAUGAACACUUUCCCGUCACUAAAUCGAGUAGGCUAUUUUGCAGAAAGGAAAUUCUCAAGGUUACAAAAUUUUGGUCUAGGAAAAUAUUCCUAGAAAGUGUGUUGGAAGCAUGAAGAAUUCAAGUCACUUCAGAUUCAAAUGAUAAACAUGAAGUGCAGAACUCAUGUUUGGAGGGCACUGUUGCUUCAGAAGAUGGCAAUGACACUUCAAGACAAAUUAACAACUCAUCCGACAAAUGUAUUACUAAUACUUUUAAGAGUGUUCGAGAUUUAUCCUUUGGGGGUGGGAUGAUAUACAACUCCACUUUAGUAGACAUGAUUGGAGUUGAUAAUACCCCACAAUCUUUGUUAAUGUUUGCUGGGAGGAAUGUCCAUUCUUUGUAUGAUUUUUUGUUAAAUUAUAGAUCCCUUUACACUCCUUUGAGUAGUGAUGUACCUGUUCUAUAUUCCCCAGUUCCUUUUGAAAAUGCUGCACUGUGUGCUCCUGAGGUCAGAUGCAAACAGGUUAGAAGGGUUGAGCACAUGUCUUCUCAGGUAAAGGACUCUAAUAUGUAUAGUGAACCCAUGAGAAGUUCAUCUCCAGGCAUUUGCUAUAAUAUUGAAAUUAGGGAUGCAUAAAUACCGCCUUGGGUAAUUUCUGGAGUUUGCGAUACUUUGCACGCUAAUGGGGGCGACUUUCAAUCCAGUUUCGUGACGGAGUCCACAUCUAUUGGCUUGAAUGUUGGUCUAGACGCAGCGAAUAACCAACCUCCCCAGCAAGCCGAGGCAGGUAUGCAAAUCGAAGAGAAUGAAUUUUCUUUUGGCAUUCCGAACACCACUCUUUCCCUUCAAAGACAUUCUGCCUUUUUAAAAGGACUGAAGUAUGGUGAUACUUAUUACACAGCCUUGCUAUCACCGAUUGAUCAAGCUCUUUCAUAUCUGAGUAUGGAAUUGCUUGUUUGUAGAUUCUGGUCAAUCACAUUUUGUUUUCGAUUUCUCGGAGAAACACUUCACUUUUUUCAGUGUUAACCUA